CUGGUUUGGGUGGUCUGGGUGGUUUAGGGGGAGUGCCAGGAGGUGUGCCUGGAGCAGCUGGACUCUAUCCCGGGCAAGUGCCAGGAGCCUAUGGAGCUGGUGCCAAGGCUGCUAAAUAUGGAGUUCCAGUUCCAGGGGCUGGAGUAGUGGCUGGAGGAGCAGGAAUACCUGGAAGUGUUCCAGGAGGGGUACCAGGAGGGGUACCUGGAAGUGUUCCAGGAAGGGUACCAGG